rnacentral:lncRNA from 10 species
GAUUCAGGGGGUACAUGUGCAGGUUUGAUACAUGGAUAUAUUGUAUAAUGGUGAGAUUUUGGCUUCUAGUGUACCCAACACCCAGAUAGUGAAGAUUGUUCCCAAUAGGUACAGAAUCAAGCAAGAAUUGGCUAGGUGAUUCUUCUGCUACACCUGGCUAGGCUUGGCCGAAGCUCAGGGACAGCUCCUCUCAUAUGCCUGGUACCUUGUGGAUAUCUGGAAAACUGAAUUCAUCAAGGCCCCUUUCCCUCAAUUGUUUUGCUUAUUGGUGUUUAAUUAAAAACCAAACAACUUUUCCUAUUAACUUGAUGCUACUUAUUAAUUGAAAUGAGGAGACUGACUCUGGAUAUUGGGAAAAUUUAUGGGCACAUACAGAGGAAAAGACAUGUGGGGACAUAAUGAGAGGACAGCCAUCUGCAAGCCAAGAAGAGAAUCCUCACCAGAAACCAACUUGACUGGAAUCUUGAUCUUGAACUUCUUGCUUCCAGAAUUAUGAGAAAAUAAAUUGUUGUUUAACCCACACAGUCUAUUGUACUUAGUUGUAGCAGUCUGAGAAGACUAAUACAUUGAUAAACUGGUCAGUUACAACAAUGAAUAUAUUAUUUAUACAUUAUAUAAAUGAUUAUAGUUUCUGUAUUAGCUUAGAUUUUGCAAAUUUGUCAAUAGCUUUGUCCAAGUUGAUUUUCUUUAUAUAUUCCUAUUUCAUAGACUAUAUUAGCUAGAUUUGUCAAUCUAUCUUACUCAUAAUGACUGAAGAACACUUUUAAAUUCAAUUUAAAAGGUUUUUGUCACAUAAAGCAACAAAUAUAAAACUAGAAAAAAUAUAAAUAUGAAUAUAAAUUUGAAGGAAAUUAAUAAAAAUCGUAUUGUACCAUAUAUUCCAGAAAUUUUAAACACUGAUGAAAACUUCAAGUGGUACCAAGGAAUGAGAGAAUUGAAGUAAUUCAAGUGUUAUAUUUCAUCUUUUCUAUCACUAGGUUGUCAUCAAUUAUUUCAAAUCUGUUUUUUUUUUUAUUGUAAUUAAACUUCUAAGUUCAGGGACACAUGUGAAGGUUUGUUAUAUGGGUAGACUUGUGUCAUAGGGUUUUGUUGUACAGAUUACUUCAUGAAUCCGUUAUUAAGUGCAGUACCCAUUAGUUAUUUUUUCUGAUCCUCUCCUUCCUUGCACCCUCCACCCUCUGAUAAGACCAACUGUCUGUUGUUCCCUCUAUGUGUCCAUAUGUACUCAUCAUUCAGCACCCACUUGUGAGAACAUACAAUAUUUGUUUUUCUGUUCCUGAAUUAGUUUGCUAAGGAUAAUGGCCUCCAGCUGCAUGAUGCUCCUGCAAGGGGCAUGAUCUUAUUCUUUCUUGUGGCUGCAUAGUAUUCCACGGUGUAUAUGUACCACAUUUUCUUUAUUCAAUCUGUCAUUGAUGGGAAUUUAGGUUGAUUCCAUGUCUUUGCUAUUGAGAAUAGUGCUGCAAUGAACAUAUGCAUGCAUGUGUCUUUAUGACAGAAUGAUUUAUAUUCCUUUAGGUAUAUCCCCAGUAUUGGGAUUCUGGGGUCUAAUGAUAUUUCCAUUUUUAGGUCUUUGAGGAAUUGCCACACUGUUUUCCACAGUGAUUGAACUAAUUUACAACCUUCAAAACAGUGCAUAGGCAUUCCUUUUUCUCUGCUACCUUGCUAGCACUUAUUUAUUUAUUUUUGACUUUUUAAUAAUAGCUAUUCUGACUGGUGUGAGAAUCUUCUGCUUAACUCAGGAAUGUGUAGCUCCACGAGAGUAGCUCCCCAGCACCCAAAGAGAGCUUGAAGGAUUCAAAACCGUUAUGAACUUCCUCUUAAAAUGAACAUAUGUAGUUAUGUCUACAUGCAUCAGGGACUGACUGGAUGACUGAGGAUUCUUUGAAUUAACUUUUAUGAAGAUUACAACAUUUAUUAAAGAACAAGUAAUUCAAAUGUGCUAAUUUGUAACUUAAAUAAUAUGUUAUUGAAAAUCAAUAGUAAUCUGUGCAAUUAUUUAGAACUUAGACUAGUAGAAGCCUUUAAAGACAGGACUGUUUAUCAGUGAUGUUGCUUAGAAUUACUGGCAUACUUUGAUAAUAAAAAAGAGAUUAUUUUUAAGUUAGUUUUAUCAUUGCUUUUAAAUGCUCCACAAGCAAUGCACCUCCUUAUCCUAUUGCUCUGCCCUAGGUAAGUCCCUGGAAAUUAUAAUAGUAGUUAAUAUUUGUUGAGUAAUUCAGAGUUAAUGCAUGUUUAAUCAUUGUCAUGAAUAAAUCAGCUGAAUGAGUAGGAAUAUCCCAAAUGCCUUUCCAAUAUGUUUUUUGGUGGCUUUUGCCCAAGGUUUUUUUUUUUUUUCUCUUGGUUUAGAAGACUUAGGGCUGACUAUUCAAUACCAUUGAAAAUAUUAGAUCAAAGCAAAAAGAACAAAGCCAGAGGCAUCACAUUACCUGGCUUCAAACUAUACUACAAAGCUACAGUAAUCAAAACAGCAUGGUACUGGUGCAAAAACAGACAUACAGAAAAUAGAACAGAAUAGAUAACCCAGAAAUAAAGCCACACACUUACAGCCAUUUUAUCUUUGACUAAGUUGACAAAAAUAAGCAAUGGAGAAAGUACUCCCUAUUCAAUAAAUGGUGUUGGGAUAACUGGCUAACCAUAUGCAGAAUAAAGAGACUGAACACCUACCUUUUACCAUAUACAAAAAUUAAUUCAAAAUGGAUUAAAAUUUUAAAUGUAACACCUCAAACUAUAAGACUUUUAGGAGAAAACCUAGGAAACACCAUUCUGGACAUAGACCUUGGGAAAGAAUUUAGGGCAAAGUCCUAAAAAGUAAUUGCAACAAAAACAAAAAUUGACACAUGGAACCUAAUUAAACCAAAGAGCUUCUGCACAGCAAAAGAAACUAACAACAGAGUAAAAAGACAACCUACAGAAUGGGUAAAAUAUUCACAAACUUUGCAUCUGACAAAGGUCUAAUUGGGAAAAUCUAUAAGGAAGUUAAGCAAUUGAAAAAGCAAAAAUCAAAUUACCUCAUUAAAAAGUAGCCGAAGAACAUGAACAGACAGUUCUCAAAAGAAGACAUACAAGCAGCCAACAAGCAUAUAAAAAAUGCUCAACAUCAGUAAUUAUCAGAGAAUGCAAAUCAAAACCACAAUAAGAUACCAUCUCACACCAUUCAGAAUGGCUAUUAACAAAAAGUCAGAAAACAGCCUGCUGGUGAGGCUGUGGAGAAAAGGGAAUGUGUAUACACUGUUGGUGGAAAAGUAAAUUAGUUCAGUCACUGUGGAAAGCAGUCUGGAGAUUUCUCAAAAAAUUUAAAACAGAAGUAACUUUUGUCCCAACAAUCUCAUUACUGGGUAUAUAUCCAAAAGAAAAUAAAUCUUUCUACCAAAAAGACACACAUACUCACAUGUUCAUUGAAGCACUAUUCACAAUAUCAAAAACAUGGAAUCAACCUAGGUGCCCAUCAAUGGUAGAUUGGAUAAAGAAAAUAUAGUACAUGUACACUAAGGAACACUACACAGCCAUAAAAGGAAUAAAGUCAUGUUCUUUGCAGCAACUUGGAUGCAGUUGGAGACCAUAAUCCUAAGUGAAUUAAUGCAGGGACAGAAAACCAACUACUGCACAUUCUUGCCUAUAAGUGGGAGCUAAAUGUGGGGUACUCAUGGACAUAAAGAUGGCAACAAAUGAGAGUGGGGACUACUGGAAGGGAGGUUUUCCCCUGGAGGGUGGCAAGAGGUGAAAAACUAACUGUUGAGCACUAUGCUGACUUCCUGGGUGAUGGGUUCAAUCAUACCCCAAACUUCAGCAUCACAUAAUAUACCCAGGUAACGAACUUGCACAUAUACCCACCCUGAAUCUAAAAUAAAAGUUGAAAUUAUAAACUAACAUAAAAUAUAAAAUAAGUAGAUCAACAAGUUGAGUUGGGAUUGUAUGUGAUGGAAGGGAAGAACACAUGGGGUAAAGGCAAGUCUUUCAGGCUUAUUUCCUAUUUCUUUGAGCAUGGGUACUUGCAGCUCCAUUCCACUCUCUUCAUAAUUGUUUCCUCCACUAUCGAAUGACAACAUCAAAAUAUAUAAUAUUGGUAAAAGUAAUCAUAUUGUUUUCCUAUAUUCUUUACAUUAGUAUUAUGGAAAUACACUUGUAGUAUACUUUUUGUUUAUUUACAAUAAUCAUUUGGGAGAAUUUGUCUGCUGUGAAAUAGAAUAAUAAAAAUUGUUUUACUCUUAGUACAGAUGCUAGAGGAAAUUCUUUCACUUU